CCUACGGGAGGCAGCAGUGGGGAAUAUUGCGCAAUGGGCGAAAGCCUGACGCAGCGACGCCGCGUGAGGGAUGAAGGUCGUCGGAUCGUAAACCUCUGUCAGCAGGGAAGAACGGUCACUGUGCUAAUCAGCAGUGAAUUGACGGUACCUGCAAAGGAAGCACCGGCUACCUCCGUGCCAGCAGCCGAGGUAAUACGGAGGGUGCGAGCGUUAAUCGGACUUACUGGGCGUAAAGCGCGCGUAGGCGGUAUGUCAAGUCAAGGGUGAAAUCCCCGCGCUCAACGUGGGAACUGCCUUUGAACCUGGCACACUGGAGUGUGUGAGAGGCUAGUGGAAUUCCAGGUGU
rnacentral:rRNA from 1 species